rnacentral:rRNA from 1 species
CCUACGGGUGGCAGCAGUGAGGAAUAUUGGUCAAUGGGCGAGAGCCUGAACCAGCCAAGUCGCGUGAAGGAUGACGGCCCUACGGGUUGUAAACUUCUUUUGUCAGGGAGCAAUUGGGUCCACGCGUGGGCUUAGCGAGAGUACCUGAAGAAAAAGCAUCGGCUAACUCCGUGCCAGCAGCCGCGGUAAUACGGAGGAUGCGAGCGUUAUCCGGAUUUAUUGGGUUUAAAGGGUGCGUAGGCGGAAUAUCAAGUCAGCGGUAAAAAUUCGGGGCUCAACCCCGUCGUGCCGUGAAAUUUUGUGGCUCAACCAUGAGAGUGCGGCGCGAACUGGAGACCUUGAGUGCGCGGAAGGCAGGCGGAAUUCGUGGUGUAGCGGUGAAAUGCUUAGAUAUCACGAAGAACCCCGAUUGCGAAGGCAGCCUGCCGCAGCGUUACUGACGCUGAAGCUCGAAAGCGCGGGUAUCGAACAGGAUUAGAUACCCCUGUAGUC